UACGAAGGGGGCUAGCGUUGCUCGGAAUUACUGGGCGUAAAGCGUGCGUAGACGGUCAUGUAAGUCGGGUGUGAAGGCCCCGGGCUCAACCUGGGAAUUGCAUUCGAGACUGCAUGGCUAGGGUGCGGAAGAGGGAAGCGGAAUUUCCGGUGUAGCGGUGAAAUGCGUAGAUAUCGGAAGGAACACCAGUGGCGAAAGCGGCUUCCUGGUCCAGCACCGACGUUCAGGCACGAAAGCGUGGGGAGCAAACAGG
rnacentral:rRNA from 1 species